rnacentral:rRNA from 1 species
UACGUAGGGUGCGAGCGUUGUCCGGAAUUAUUGGGCGUAAAGAGCUUGUAGGCGGUCUGUCGCGUCUGCUGUGAAAAUCCGGGGCUCAACCCCGGACUUGCAGUGGGUACGGGCAGACUAGAGUGUGGUAGGGGAGACUGGAAUUCCUGGUGUAGCGGUGAAAUGCGCAGAUAUCGGGGGGAAUACCAGUGGCGAAAGCGGCACCCUAGCAUUUUUCUGACGCUCAUGUGCGAAAGCGUGGGGAGCGAACGGG